rnacentral:rRNA from 1 species
ACGGGAGGCAGCAGUGGGGAAUAUUGGGCAAUGGGCGAAAGCCUGACCCAGCAACGCCGCGUGAAGGAAGAAGGUUUUCGGAUUGUAAACUUCUUUUAUCAGGGACGAAGAAUGUGACGGUACCUGAUGAAUAAGCCACGGCUAACUACGUGCCAGCAGCCGCGGUAAUACGUAGGUGGCAAGCGUUAUCCGGAUUUACUGGGUGUAAAGGGCGCGUAGGCGGGGAUGCAAGUCAGAUGUGAAAUCCAUGGGCUUAACCCAUGAACUGCAUUUGAAACUGUAUUUCUUGAGUGUCGGAGAGGUAGACGGAAUUCCUAGUGUAGCGGUGAAAUGCGUAGAUAUUAGGAGGAACACCAGUGGCGAAGGCGGUCUACUGGACGAUAACUGACGCUGAGGUUCGAAAGCGUGGGUAGCAAACAGGAUUAGAUACCCUGGUA